GCCCGAAUAGCUCAGUCGGUAGAGCAGGGGAUUGAAAAUCCCCGUGUCCCUGGUUCGAAUCCGGGUUCGGGCA
rnacentral:tRNA from 1 species